rnacentral:misc_RNA from 1 species
GUGAAUUGAAUAUGUUAGCGGACCUCUUCGGAGUCCCUAGCAUCAAAUCAUAUCCAUAACACCUGUGAACUGUAAGGCUGUCUUGAAAACGAAAGUGAUUAGAGCGCCUGCCCAUUUUAUACAAACAUUAAAGUAACAAACGUAGUCUUAUUAAAUAAGUCA